UACAGAGGUGGCAAGCGUUGUUCGGAAUUACUGGGCGUAAAGGGCGCGUAGGCGGCCCACUAAGUCAGACGUGAAAUCCCCCGGCUUAACCUGGGAACUGCGUCUGAUACUGGAGGGCUUGAGUAUGGGAGAGGGAUGUAGAAUUCCAGGUGUAGCGGUGAAAUGCGUAGAUAUCUGGAGGAAUACCGGUGGCGAAGGCGGCGUCCUGGACCAUUACUGACGCUGAGGCGCGAAAGCUAGGGGAGCAAACGGG
rnacentral:rRNA from 1 species